rnacentral:rRNA from 1 species
AACGAACGCUGGCGGCAGGCUUAACACAUGCAAGUCGAGCGCCCCGCAAGGGGAGCGGCAGACGGGUGAGUAACGCGUGGGAAUCUACCCAUCUCUACGGAAUAACGCAUGGAAACGUGUGCUAAUACCGUAUACGUCCUUCGGGAGAAAGAUUUAUCGGAGAUGGAUGAGCCCGCGUUGGAUUAGCUAGUUGGUGGGGUAAAGGCCUACCAAGGCGACGAUCCAUAGCUGGGCUGGGAGGAUGAUCAGCCACACUGGGACUGAGACACGGCCCAGACUCCUACGGGAGGCAGCAGUGGGGAAUAUUGGACAAUGGGCGCAAGCCUGAUCCAGCCAUGCCGCGUGAGUGAUGAAGUCCCGAGGGUUGUAAAGCUCUUUCACCGGUGAAGAUAAUGACGGUAACCGGAGAAGAAGCCCCGGCUAACUUCGUGCCAGCCGCCGCGGUAACAC